ACCAGAUCUGCCCCAAAUUGAACCCUAUUCCACAAGUAGUCCUCCCAGACCAGCGCCGCCGCCGCCGCCCUCCGCCGUCGACCUCCUCCACCAACCAGUGCGCCCCCCAUCGACGUACGCGCCUCACGACGCCGACUCGUCAUCGCCUUCCUUCGGCACCGCCACCGGGGCAGGUCAACUAUGGCGGUGCGUCGAGGUCGAAGUCAACGUCGCCUCCCUCUCCAGCCCCAGAUCCCGUGGCGAAAAUCGCCACCACCAUACCGGCGCGCUCUUCUCCAUGGCACUCCAAGGUAACGAGCACGGGUGAGCUCCCCACCACAGCUCCCUCCAUCCCAACGGCACGAGAGGUGCUCAGAUCCAUCACGCUGGACAACACGCUGCUCAGAUCCGUCAUGCUGGAGUCUCCUCCUCUUUCCCAUGUACUCCUUUGCUACUCAGAGGAGGUGAGGUUGCCCAGCUUCUUUGUUCGAUUUUCUUUUCCUGCUACCGCAGACUGCCAGCGACCAUGUCCUCUGGACUUUUUUCUGUCCAUGAGCUCGCGGAGCUGAGGAUUUGCUUUUUGUGCCUACCUUAGCUACAUUGCUUCUUAGCAAAUAUUCACCAUCUUACAUUUUUAUAACUGAUUUUCUAUUUUGCGACUGUAAAACAAGAAGGCAGUAGAAUAACUACAAAAGGAGAAGGAAUCUGAUGUCCCAACAAAGCACAUGUGAAGAGCGCUCCAGGGAGAAAGAAGAAGGAAACAACAAUCUUGCAAACGAAUAAAGAAACAACAGCUUCAUGACAAAAAAUUUCAUGAGUGGAAAUCCUUUUUAAUGGACUGAUGGUGGGACUUGGGAGCAAGGGUAUACAUGUGUGGAAGCCAUCCUUUGCAUAAUUUUAUUCCAAAUAUAUAUACUUUCUCCUCUUAACUGGGGGAUAUUUCAAAAAGGGAGGAUCUCGUGUGUAAGAAUUGGUUGACCCUGCAUUUUACUAUUCAUUAUUAUUUAUACACCCCGAAUGUAAAGUGUCACCAUGUGUGAAUUUAUAAUCAGCCGUAGUAAUCUUGAUAUAGAUAUACACACACACUGAAGUCUGAAAACAAGCUAGUAAAACUACUUGCUUUGAAAGCAACACUACAUUUUAUAUUGAGUGGUACUGCCAUUGCCUCACCUUUGAUUGCUAUAUGAACCAUGCUAUUAUUGAGACAAUGGAGUGGGAUGUCAAUGCCAUUGGUUGAGUGCAAAUAUUUAGUUUUUGUAUUUAAAUUAUGAGUGAAAGGGUGAGACAGAGUUUGUUACUGCAUUUACGCCAUUUAGUUUGUUCAAAUAUUUGCUUGGAGCUAUGUAAGUUUACAUCGGUGCCAUAAAUUAUGCUUCAACUUUCAUACCAUCGGAUACAUAAUAGUUUCUGUAUAAUUUUCAACUUUAUAAGCAAUUCAGCAGCUACAUUGUUACAGGAAAUUAGAUACUCUGAGAAGCUUCUGCAAGAUCUAGAUAUCAUUUGUUCUCUAUCGCUCGAGCCUUUGUGUUUGACACUAACAAAAAUAUAAAACGCGGGUGUGCCAGUGUCCACGCCAGCAUCAAAAGAUGCAUGCCGGCCGGUGGCACAAAUACCCGAAUACGUAUGUGUACAUAAGCAGGUAUUCAGCCAUGUAUAUAUAUAUAUAUAUAUAUAUAUAUAUAUAUAUAUAUAUAUAUAUAUAUAUACAGGCUGAUGCAUGCGUCACUGCUUUACAAAAAAACCGUAUUGAUCCGUGCAUUUUGGUCCUUGUAAGACUAGGCUGGUGAAUCAUCUGACCGUGACAUCCCCACUAAUGCAUCGCUUUAAUCAAUCCACUAACUUAUACACGCACGUCUUGCCUCUACGUACAUCUGCAUGGCAUUUUUUUUAGUUGUGCAUGGCAUAAUAUUUAAAUCUGUAUGGGCACUCCUUGCUCCAUAGAUAUGUUCUCAAGCUUCUCCCAAGCUUGUUAGGAAAAGAGAAUAUUGGGACAAAAUAUUUUCGUACUAUUUCUAGUAUGAAUUCUCAUCGAACACUGUGCUUGUGAAUGUGCUUCAGUUCAAUGGAUAACUCCAAAAACCUGUACCUAAUUUGAUCCUGAUAGCAUUUUCUUCAGGUGGUAACACUUGUCUCAGUUAUUACAGUAACUUUGUCAAUGUAGAGUUGUUUUGCAGUUUGCACUAUUAGAAGUAUCUCCUAGAUAAAAAAUAUUCUAUAACCAAACAUGAUUAAUACAUGUGUUGUGUUUGAUAUAGAUUUGUAGCUUAUAUCAUUUAUAUAAUACAUCAGUUUUUCAAUUGUAUAUUUAUAUGGGUUGUUCAUUAACUAAGGCCCUAUUCGGAUCCCCUCCGCUCCCCUACUGCAGCUCCCGGAGCAGAGGGAGUGCCAGCACAAUCGCGCGGAGCAGUUCGAACCCGGCUCCUCGCGCGGAGCGGAGUUGAGAAUCUAGAGAGCUUCCGAACAGGCAGUAACUUUUGCACAAAUUUGGUUACGAGUCAUUGCUUUUUGCACAAAUUUGGUCAUGGGGUAAUCAAUCCAGAAUCUCAACAUUCUAGCAUUUUGCACAAAUUUGUGAAGUUCGACUUCUUAGUGUCAUGGCUCACAACUAAAUGUUCCAGGAUUAUUAUAUUGCAGAACUCAGAUGUGAAAAUCAAACUACUUUUGCUUGAUCCUAUUGAGUAUGAACAUGAAACAAUGCUUGCCUGUGCUGUCAGCUACUGUUCCUAAUUCACCACACAUUGUGCUAUCUUUCAUUCAAUUAAAUGUAUAACCUUGCUUUUCAUUUGAUUCGUACAACAACUGCAUCUUGCUUCCAGAAUUUCUUCAUGGUCCUGUAUAAUCUAUCUCUCAUAAUUAUAUACACAUUAUGCCUGAACCUGUGUUGUUUGUGUGAAAGGAAACAUCUCUAGUAUUUUCAAAUGUUUAUACAUAGCUUGAACUAUAUUGGAAGGUAUCAAUGUUUGUGAAUUAAUACUCAAGCCACAAUAAUAUUGGUAUAGAUAUAUAUGUGAAGCUUGAAAAUACGCCAGUAGGAAUACAUGUCAGCUGCCAUAUGUAGUUGUAAGCUACUUGCUUUAAAAACAUCACUAUGGUUUGCUUUUUUGCUUGCAAAAUGAUUAUUAUGCAAGCAUGUAUUUGCUGUCUGAGCCUAUAUCCUUUGUUUGUGUGCUACAGUACAUAUCAUUUACCAAAGUUAUUAGCUCAUGGCAUUUGAACCAUCUUAUCUAUUCAGGUUGGCAUCAUCACUGGAAGAUGUUUCUACAUGAUGUUUCUUCUCUUCGUAUUAACAUCUUAAAAGCAUUACAAAUUCGUAACUCUUCUGCUGGAGACAUGUGGCCAUCUUCGAAUAAUGCAGUUUCAUUGGAUGGUGUGAGUUUGGUAUUCAGAUGAAUAUGUUAAUUCCAUCAAAGAAACAGCUUGAACAGAAAUGUACAAAAGAGUAAUCACGCAACUUGUAUUCGUGGACAUGGCUACAGCUAUGCACUAAAGUUAAACCAUUUGUGUAGCUUCAGUCUAAGGACACAAAAUCUUAUCGUCUUAUGUAAAUUUUGUUAACCGUUGUAGCUAGAUGCUACUAAACACAUGUACGGAAAUAAGCUUAUUUGUACUGAACUUUUAGUUUGUGAAUGUUUAUGAAAGUUUAAGGUUUUGGGUGAGGUAUA